GCCAGGCAACAGUUUUCCUGGAGGACUGAGAGGAAAUGCAGGAAGACACACAGCCAACAGGAAAAUAGAAAAAUAAAAACCAAGAAAACAAAGUUCUUGAAACAUAAAAUGUAGUUAGAUUUAUCCUACUAUGCAUUUUUACCUGUAUGAAGCAAUGAUUUAACAGCAUAUAUAUUUAUAUAUUUUAUACAAUUCAGAUCACCUUCAAAACAGGGCCGUAUCAAGGUAUUUUGGGGGCCAAGGCAAAAUAGACCCCUGCCAGGUAUUUUAAGUUGAGGUGCUGUUUGUUUUAUUUUUUAUAUUAGACUUUUUUAUAUUUACACUAAAGUCCAAAAGUGAAGGAUUUAUGUUAUUUAUUGCCUGAUUGUACAAGCUAUCUUACAGAAGCAAUCUGUUUGUGUUAAAAAAAAGAAACAUUGUGGAUCUGUUUCUUUGCUUUCAUUAUUCUUUUAUCAAGACAAAAAUAAAAUAAACCUGAUCGGGACAUCCCCACAAAUAAAACAAGCCUGAAGGAGUUCUGCUGUGUUGUGGAGUUGCUUUAAAUGUAUGGAUUUCCAGGGAGGUCAUUGUCUUGGAACGGUUUCAUGUUAAUCUUUAAUCAUCUACUUUUACCAGAAGAACCAGCUCUCCUGUGAAUAAGUAAUGCUCUAUUAAUAGAAGUUGGUGCACACUUAACUGCGGGUUUGUGAUCCUGCCUCAGUCACUUGUUGUUUUUUUUCAUCAGCAUCAUUAAAGCAUUCGUCUUUCAAGUGUUUUCUCAGGUUGAAAGAAACUGUGACAUCUGAGAGGGAGCGCUGAUUGCAGGAGAGACAUGCUCCAAGCUAAUGACAGUCUGGUCCAUUUUUAGGAGAUAAGAAAAGCAUGAGAUUGUAGGCGUUUAGACCGAGUAGACCGACAUGUAAGACGAGUAAAUAUGAAGCCGCACACUGAGCAAGAAAACGUUUCGGUGGAAAGAUAAGGGUUAAAGACUGCUAUCUCUUUUUUUGUGUUCAUUGUCACAUCUCUCUGAAAGACCCAAUUUUAACUUGCAGCAGCCCCAACGCGUGCACACGUGGAGCGUGCAAUUUGUGCAACGAGAAAGAAAAUAUAGGCUGCAAGAAAAGGAGCUUAUAGGUACGGGGGAGGCAUGUGUGUUUCGUCUUCACCCACACUCAAACCUGUCAAACAAACAACACUCGUCUUCCUCCUCCCUCAUGCAGCAGCCAAUCAGGAGCCAGUAAUAAAAAAAACACUAUUUUUUUUGUCAUCAUGUCCCGCUGGGUCCACUUGGAACAAGGUGUUCCUUGAUUUUGGAUGAAGACAGGAAGCAAACACCUAUUUUGUGUUAUGUCACUCAUUUGUUGUAGAAGACAUCAGGGGGAAAAGUUGGAGAUGCAGUGAGACAUCUGCAGCCACACAGGCACCUGUGGACACCACGGGGGCGGGACUGUCUUCUGCACCUGUUGAGCCUCACUGUGAUGAUGAUGAAUCGUUUUCUAUCCAGGCAUCAAGCAGCAGCAGCAAAACAUUUACUGAGCUACAAUCUCAGCAUCUAUAGGUGAGUAAGUUACUUGUUAGGCUAUUUGUAAUCAGCAGUAGAAACUGACUUUUUCAAAUUAAACGGCUUAUCACAUAUAUCGAUAUGCAAAUUUAAUUUAUUUAAAUCCACACCAGACACUUGUUUUUGGCACAAUCAGUGCAGCAUUGAUUUAGCAUUGAGAAUAUUAAAUCAUCUGAACAUACACAUCUGAAAUUGUCUCCUUAAGAUGUUAUUGUCAAUUAGGCUGUAAAUUUGUAAAAAAAAAAAGAUGGACGUUAGUUUUUGUGACAUAGUGAGUCAUCUUCAGGGCAUAAAGGUUUAUGCCCUGAAGAAAGGUCGUACCGAAACGCGUCGGCGUUUCCUUGUUAAUACAUGAAAUCCUCAGAGUGCCUCAGAUCACCGGUUCUUCUUCCUCAUAUUCUACGAUUUAUUUGAUGCUGAAGAGCACCUGAGAGUGAGACAUACGUUUUUUUUUUUUCAAAUAUUCCCCAAGGAUGCACUCACUUCCACCUGUUUUUGAUCAUUUUAUUCAUGUUUUCAUAAAACAGAUUUAAAAAAGAUCAAUAAAAUAAAAAGUCCAAUAACAUAAAAAAUAAUGAAAAGCCUCACUGCACAUGACUGAGGAAUAUUGAAUGUGAAAGUGGCACUGUUCGUAAUUCAUGCAU